UACGUAGGGGGCAAGCGUUGUCCGGAAUCAUUGGGCGUAAAGAGCGUGUAGGCGGCCUGAUAAGUCGGCUGUGAAAGUCAAGGGCUCAACCCUUGAAUGCCGGCCGAUACUGUCAGGCUAGAGUCCGGAAGAGGCGAGUGGAAUUCCUGGUGUAGCGGUGAAAUGCGUAGAGAUCAUGAGGAAGACCAGUGGCGAAGGCGGGUCUCUGGACAGUUCCUGACACUGAGGCACGAAGGCCAGGGGAGCAAACGGG
rnacentral:rRNA from 1 species